rnacentral:rRNA from 1 species
UACGGAGGAUGCGAGCGUUAUCCGGAUUUACUGGGCGUAAAGGGAGCGUAGGCGGACUUUUAAGUGAGAUGUGAAAUACCCGGGCUCAACUUGGGUGCUGCAUUUCAAACUGGAAGUCUAGAGUGCAGGAGAGGAGAAUGGAAUUCCUAGUGUAGCGGUGAAAUGCGUAGAGAUUAGGAAGAACACCAGUGGCGAAGGCGCUUCUCUGGACUGUAACUGACGCUGAGGCUCGAAAGCGUGGGGAGCAAACAGGAUUAGAUACCCCGGUA